GAUCCUGGCUCAGGAUGAACGCUGGCGGCGCGCCUAACACAUGCAAGUCGAACGGCGCCUAUCUUCGGAUAGAAGCGAGUGGCGAACGGCUGAGUAACACGUGGAGAACCUGCCCCCCUCCCCCCGGGAUAGCCGCCCGGAAAGGACGGGUAAUACCGGAUACCCCGGGGUGCCGCAUGGCACCCCGGCUAAAGCCCCCGACGGGAGGGGAUGGCUCCGCGGCCCAUCAGGUAGACGGCGGGGUGACGGCCCACCGUGCCGACAACGGGUANCCGGG
rnacentral:rRNA from 1 species